UCCGCCCCAACUUCGGAGACGCUCCGCCAAAUCUUCGUCUGAAAGGUCGUUAUAUCCUCGGGAAGGUCUCGGAAUCUGGAACAUAGUAAAACAAGAACAGACGAGAUGCACUAUUCAAAUGGUCUAGAUUGAGGAUUUACUAAAAGAAUAAUCGAUAGAUUGAGCAUAUAUAUACAAGGAGCAAGCGAGGAACCACAUUUACCUGAAGAUAAGGCAUCCUAUAAACUGCAAGUACUUUACUAAGUACUCCCUCGCUCAAAGCCAACGUCCUUCCACCCCAACCACCUUCGCCCCCACCCCAACUUUUUGGACCUUCCACCCUGGUGGAAUAAAGGCUUUGGUCCUUAAAACCAUUAAGACAGACAAUUCCUAAAGGGGAGAGAGGAAUGAAGGUAACAACCAUACUGUAUCAAAUAUCACACUUUCCUUUGUCAACUGACUUUCCUUUGUUCAAAAGCUUACCUGUGUCCCCAAAAGGCGAACUGCUUUCUCCCAAGUUCUUUGUGGCUGUCUUUGCAAAAGUCAGAAACUAAUGCUUGCCAAUCUUGAUAGAAUGGUUCCUUGUAUCUGUUCUCCCUCCCAGGCAAGCAUACAGCAUGGACUUGAAAGUAACAAAUUUAAAAAUAUUAAAUCAAGCAUAGCAAGUUUACAGUGGAUUAUUUAGUUGCCAAUAUGAAAAGACUUAGAAUAGUUUUCACUAAAAUGCUGGACAAUCUAUGAUCUCACAGCAUGGAGAAAUCCAUUAUGAAGUUACCUGAAUUCUAAAAUCGCUUCGCUUGAGAGUCAAACACAAUUUUAAAAGCUCUUUAGCUUUCAUUUUUUUUUUUCACAAUUAGGAAUAAUAUUGUCAAUUUUCAAGAAAUUUCCUCAUUAAUAGAACUCCUGACCGUAGCCUUGGGCUACCUGUGGAUUAGUAGCUUUUCAUGUGCAUUUGAAUUAAAAAUUCUCUGUAAUUUUUUUUUCUUACAUUGAUCUACAUUAGAGAAAGAUUGUUUGAUUGUCAUCAGAUCUUUUACUAUUUUGACAAUCUAAAUGACCAUUAAACUUCUAAAUUUAUGUUCA